rnacentral:rRNA from 1 species
VAACCAACAGGGAUUGCCUUAGUAGCGGCGAGUGAAGCGGCAAGAGCUCAAAUUUGAAAUCUGGUACCUUCGGUGCCCGAGUUGUAAUUUGAAGAAAGCUAUCUUGGAUUUGGCCUUUGUCUAUGUUCCUUGGAACAGGACGUCACAGAGGGUGAGAAUCCCGUGCGAUGAGGUGUCCAUUUCUAUGUAAGAUGUUUUCGAAGAGUCGAGUUGUUUGGGAAUGCAGCUCUAAGUGGGUGGUAAAUUCCAUCUAAAGCUAAAUAUUGGCGAGAGACCGAUAGCGAACAAGUACAGUGAUGGAAAGAUGAAAAGAACUUUGAAAAGAGAGUGAAAAAGUACGUGAAAUUGUUGAAAGGGAAGGGUAUUAGAUCAGACUUGGUAUUUAGUUAUCAUUACUCCUUGUGGGUGGUGCUCUAGCUUUUUACUGGGCCAGCAUCAGUUUUGGUGACAGGAUAAUAGCAAUUGAAUGUGGCUCCUCGGAGUGUUAUAGCUUUUGUUGAUACUGUCUACUGGGACUGAGGUCUGCGGCUUUGCCUAGGAUGCUGGCGUAAUGAUCCAAUACCGC